rnacentral:rRNA from 1 species
AAGAUGGGAGGCAGAAGGGAGGAAGAGGGGGAAAGGGAAGGAAGGAGGAAACAGCCAUGAAGCGGGAAGGUCAGUGCCCUAUGGGCGUUAAACUUCUUUUGUGCGGGAGCAAUAAUGGUCACGUGUGGCCAGACGAGAGUACCGUACGAAUAAGCAUCGGCUAACUCCGUGCCAGCAGCCGCGGUAAUACGGGGGAUGCAAGCGUUAUCCGGAUUUAUUGGGUUUAAAGGGUGCGUAGGCUGUGAGGUAAGUCAGCGGUGAAAUGCCCCCGCUCAACGGGGUGAAGUGCCAUUGAUACUGCCUUGCUGGAAUGCGGAUGCCGUGGGAGGAAUGUGUGGUGUAGCGGUGAAAUGCAUAGAUAUCACACAGAACACCGAUUGCGAAGGCAUCUCACGAAUCCGCGAUUGACGCUGAUGCACGAAAGCGUGGGUAUCAAACAGGAUUAGAUACCCUUGUAGUC